CCGCUUUUAGUCAAUCCCGAAUCAAUCUGACCUUAUCCUUAGUCUCAGAAAUCAAUUUAGGACCCAAAACACGUCAUUCACCCAACUCAGUCCAACAUAAGGGAGUGCGACACUUACGACCAUAUAGUGCCUCGUAAUGGCAGAUAGUCCUCCCAACUUCCUUAAAAAUCAAUAACACAGCUCCUCAACAUGUCCUCCAGUAUCUGAAUCAUCCUCUCAGACUGUCCAUCAAUUUGAGGAUGGAACGCAGUACUGAAGUCCAACCUUGAACCCAGAGCUCAUGCAACUUCCUCCAAAACCGAGACAUGAAGCAAGGAUCCCUAUCAGAGAUGAUCAAAAC
rnacentral:lncRNA from 1 species